AUUGGCACUUUUUUGAGUGUG
rnacentral:miRNA from 3 species